rnacentral:rRNA from 1 species
GAUCAUGGCUCAGGACGAACGCUGGCGGCGUGCUUAACACAUGCAAGUCGAACGGGGUUUAGUAAACAGAAGCUUCGGUGAAAGAUUACUAAUGAGAGUGGCGAACGGGUGAGUAACGCGUGAGCAACCUGCCUAUGACAGUGGGAUAGCCUCGGGAAACCGGGAUUAAUACCGCAUAAAAUCGUAGAAACACAUGUUUUAACGGUCAAAGAUUUAUCGGUCAUAGAUGGGCUCGCGUCUGAUUAG